GCACUGGUGGUGUAAUGGUAACAUCUAAGCUUCCCAUGUCUCUUCUAAGAAAUCGCCUGCUUAGGCCCCGGGUUCGAUUCCCGGCCAGUGCA